rnacentral:rRNA from 1 species
GAUAGGCGAAGAACUCUGGAAUGAGUCUUCACCCAAAAGACGCUUACGCUAUGCUUGUAGGCGCCGCCCAAGGAUGGGGCCGCGACCGAUCAGGUUGUUGGUGAGGUAAUGGCUCACCAAGCCUUUUACCGGUGCGGGCCGUGAGAGCGGGAGCCCGGAGAUGGGCACUGAGACAAGGGCCCAGGCCCUACGGGGCGCAGCAGUCGCGAAAACUUUGCAAUAAGCGAAAGCUUGACAGGGCUAUCCCGAGUGCCAUCCGCUGAGGAAGGCUUUUACCCAGUCUAGAACGCUGGGGGAAUAAGGAGAGGGCAAGUCUGGUGUCAGCCGCCGCGGUAAUACCAGCUCUCCGAGUGGUGUGGAUGUUUAUUGGGCCUAAAGCAUCCGUAGCUGGCUAGGUUAGUCCCUUGUUAAAUCCACCGAAUUAAUCGUUGGAUUGCGGGGGAUACUGCUUGGCUAGGGGACGAGAGAGGCAGACGGUAUUUCCGGGGUAGGGGUGAAAUCCUAUAAUCCCGGGAAGACCACCAGUGGCGAAGGCUGUCUGCUAGAACGCGCCCGACGGUGAGGGAUGAAAGCUGGGGGAGCGAACCGGAUUAGAUACCCGGGUAGUCCCAGCUGUAAACGAUGCAGGCUAGGUGUUUGGACGGCCACGUGCCGUUCUAGUGCCGCAGGGAAGCUGUUAAGCCUGCCGCCUGGGGAGUACGAUCGCAAGAUUGAAACUUAAAGGAAUUGGCGGGGGAGCACCACAAGGGGUGAAGCUUGCGGUUUAAUUGGAUUCAACGCCGGAAAUCGAAUUCC